rnacentral:lncRNA from 1 species
UUUCUUUUUUUCUGCCGGCCGGGUGGCCUUUCUCUUCUCAGCUGGAGACUGGAGAAAAGAGAUCUACAUGUACCACACACGCUUAAUUGCUUGCUAAUAAUAGUAUCUCCAGAGCAAUUAACGAAGUGAAAUACUACUGUACUUAAUUAGAAGCAACUCAGCAGUAAUAAAUCAAGCGAACCAAUAUGCAGAUCUAUGUUUUUUAGGGAAGAUCUAUGUAGAUCUGUGUAUGUAUGAGGCCGAAAUGGAGCAGGAUGGGCUGGAUCGAGAUCACUCGCACACAAAUAGUCGGCCCAAUCGACACUAGCAAGAAAACCAACUUGGGGAAACCAGCGCCAGUAUGGACGGCCGCAGGUGUAGACCCAGCAUAACGGGUCCGUAAAAAGAAUAUUCGCGAAAUAUGCUUUUUUACAGGUCAGCUUUGUAGGGUCUAAUCUGACGCAGCUCCUCCCGGCCCGGAAACCUAAAUUUGCACCUUUCAUUUGAUCCAACAUAAUGCAUUUCUUUUUGCUUUUUCGACAACAUGGAUACAUAAUACAUCACCAAAUCUUUACUAGAAUAGUAAGAUCAAAGAAAACAAGAACCACAAGUAUGCAUUUUAGAAGAUUUCCAACUUUCAUAACUGCUCCCACUAGUUGGACUAAUAUCUUCUUCAUGCAUUCUUUGUUGAUCUGUGGAUUCUUGAUUUUGCAUUCUUUUUUCUUCAUCUUUCGUUCGAAAAAAGUAGACGUUGCUUCCCCUCUACUUGCACAUGCAGCCACAUCAUUGCCUUUGAUUCUUCUAAGGAGUGCAUCAACGUCUAUUAAGUUUCUUCCUAUCAAUAAAUUAAUGUAUUCGCCUUCCCAAAACCAAAAAGAGCAUCCAUCUUCCUACACACAUGAUGAUGUUCGACAUGAGCUACCGCAAUUGAAUCAAAGAAUGGGCUAUCAAAAUGAGCCGAACGGAAACAACACGUACCCCACCGUUUUCGCAUUUGAAGAACACCCAUCCGGAAUGCUUCGGCGUGCCCGAAGAUAGCCGUAGCACUAUCCGCGUGCAGUCGCCACACUGUAUGAGCGACAUCGGCGAGCCACAGAGCCGCUGCGCGAGCGUCGAGCCCGGUGGAUGGCGGGACGAAUCCAUGCCCACAAACCGUCGGCGACGGCGGGAGGACCAACUCGUACCUGCAUGCGGCGAUGCGACCUUGUCAGGGCUACAGAAGAUGCUCCCCGACCAUUCCAUCGCUUGGCGCAGCCACCAGCGGCCGGAAAAGCCAAAUCCGGCGGCUCGCGAUGAAGGACUGUAGAUCCGCAACUUUUCGGCCCGCCGACGCAGGAGGGGGGGGAGGGGAGGCCUCGUGCGUGUGGCGCCCUUUCGGCGAUCUAGGAAUCCAACGGCUAAGGAGCCCGUAUCACGGUAGCACCUAAGGUUUGGUAGCACCAGAUACUCUCCCCUCAAUCAUCAUGCCAAGGCUAGUCCAACCCUGCCAUGGGCGUCGGCGCUGUCCCUUAGUGAUCAUGUGUCUAGUCUAUUUUAGCUACCAUGGUGGAUUGGUGGUACCUUUAUAUAUUAACAAAUUACACAUGUUCAACUAGAAGACAUAGCCCUACAUUAACCAAAAAUUCGCACGUGCACACACUGCCAAAAGAAUUUAUGAGAAUUAUUUGAAAAUUUAUGGCAAGGCAGAAAUAUAGGUUGCUUUACAACCUAGAGCAAACAUGACUAUUCCUUUAAUAGAAAAAUAAAUAUUUUCGAGGAUAAGAAUUUGAGGAUGGGCUAGGAUGGAAAUGACAUGAUCUCGGGAGAUGUUUGAGAAUGAUGAGCCACUUGAGAGAAGAAGACAUGAUUGCGGCAUCGUACGAUUUACCGAGGAUUUCGACAGUUGCAUCAGGCAUGCCACCAAGGUACUUUCGGCAACCCGGUGGCUGGGCAUGCACCUCUGUUGUCUGUGCAGGGCCUAGGCAUGCCACAAUGACAUCACAGAGGUUUCCCAUGCCGCUACCGGGCAUGAUUUCAUGUGCCGCCAUGCUGAUCUGUAAUUUCCGGCCAUGAAACCCUACCAGAGUAAUAAAUUUAUCGAAUAUUGCACGCGUGUUAGAAAAAUGCGGGGAGGUGGGGUGGCACGUGCCAUGCAAUUGCCUCCUUUGAGAGCACGAGAAGUUCCGAGGCCAUCUUUGCAAGAGGACCCGCACUUCUUGCACAAACCAGACACGUUCCCUCUCGAUACCCAGAGACUAGCUCGGGGACGGUGUAGUUGACAAGCGGCCUUAGGGGGUGCUUAUUAGAAACGCGCCCAAACUUUCACCACAACCUACAGGGGCCAUGUGAUGACAUCAUGCCACCUCUCGAGGAAUUCCGGCAUCGUACGAUUUUCCGAGGAUUUCCACGGUUGCAUCAGGCAUGCCACCUAGGUACUUUCAGUAACACGGUGGCAAGGCAUGUCCCUCCCUCGUUUAUGCAGGGCCUAGGCAUGCCACAAGGACAUCACACAGGAUUUCCCAUGCCGCUACCGGGCAUGAUUUCAUCUGCCGCCUUGCUGAUCUGCAAUUUCGGGCGAUGAAACCUAGGAGAGCAAUAAAUUUCUAGAAUAUUGCACGCGUGUCCGAAAAANNNNNNNNNNNNNNNNNNNNNNNNNNNNNNNNNNNNNNNNNNNNNNNNNNNNNNNNNNNNNNNNNNNNNNNNNNNNNNNNNNNNNNNNNNNNNNNNNNNNNNNNNNNNNNNNNNNNNNNNNNNNNNNNNNNNNNNNNNNNNNNNNNNNNNNNNNNNNNNNNNNNNNNNNNNNNNNNNNNNNNNNNNNNNNNNNNNNNNNNNNNNNNNNNNNNNNNNNNNNNNNNNNNNNNNNNNNNNNNNNNNNNNNNNNNNNNNNNNNNNNNNNNNNNNNNNNNNNNNNNNNNNNNNNNNNNNNNNNNNNNNNNNNNNNNNNNNNNNNNNNNNUGCCUCCUUUGAGAGCACGAGAAGUUUUGAGGCCCAACAGAGCAACAGGACCCGCACUUCCUGCAUAAACCGGAGACGGUCCCUCUCGAUACCCAGAGACUAGCUCGAGGACGGUGAAGUUUACAAGCAACCUCAGGGGAUGUUUAUUCGAAACACGCCCAAACUUUUACCACACCCUACAGGGGCCACGUGAUGACACCGUGCCAGCUCUCCAGCAAUUCCAUCAUCGUACGAUUUCCCGAGGAUUUCAAUUGUUGCAUCAGGCAUGCCACCGAGGUACUUUCGGUAACCCGGUGGCAGGGAAUGCCCCUCUCUCGUCUGUGCAUGGCCUAGGCAUGCCGCAAGGACAUCACAAAGGAUUUCCAUUCCGCUAUCGGACAUGAUUUCAUGUGGCGCCUUGCUGAUCUGCAAUUUCUGGCGAUGAAACUGUCGGUGCAGCGAUCGAUCGCGUUCGCUGCCCGGACUUGCGCACAGGUGCCCGACGGAUCAUACUACAAGCAGCAAUGUUUGAUACAAGGCGAGCCAGAGAGACCGCUCUUCAUGAGGUCAAGGAGCAAAUCAAGAAGACAAAGGCGACCAAAGGAUCCUCCAGGAAGGUCUCCCCUGCCAGGCUGGCAAGCCCCGCGGGGUCGAGACUGGGACUGGGACCAAGGCCAAGCCCCUCCUCGGCAAAGCCUCUGAGGUCCACCAAGGUCGAAGCAAAGACUCAAGGCAACCCCCGGCAAGCUUCACACUGGCAAAACCUUCACCAGAACACCACUGCUCCACCUCAUCAUACGCCAGUCACUUAUCAGCGAGGUGUUGAGCUCUCAGGUGGCUAGGUGGAUCCUAUCAGGUACGUGGCAGCCUGCUGGAGAGAAGAUUAACUUUAUUGACACCCGUCCAAAUGGUGUGUCACGCUAAUAAGGAGAAAAUGUAUAAGCGGCGCGGCAGGCAUGCCGGGCUUCAACCUCAGCAUGACACCUAGCAGUGCAUUUAAUGCACUUUGUCCUAACUGUCAGAGUUAGGUAUGAUAGCACUGUUAGCUAUCCAAUCACACCAAAAUGAUUGUUUUGCCAUUGUGGUCACCUCUUAACCUAUAAAAGGAGGCCCGAGGCAACCGACCAAAGGGUACGAACAUUUUGACCCCCCAACACUUGUAUGCACGCAUUUGCUCUUCCUGAGGCACCCUUGCCGGGCUAGAGCGCUCCGUGUCUUAGUCUUCCUCGUGAUCAAUCCACCAAAGCAGGAGUAGUGUUUUAUGCUGCAAAGCGGCCCGAACCUGGGUAAAAGAGAGUUGUCCCUCGACGUGCCGCCCUAUCGUUUCUGCUCUUUGUGCAAUGUGACCAUCCACCUCACUGAACCACAAAGGGGCGGCCCUGCCCCGUAGGUGAUCGUGCACCCCCCACGACAGGAACCCUAUCAAAGCAAUAAAUUUCUCGAAUAUUGCAGGCGUGUCCGAAAAAUGCAUUGCCUACUUUGAGAGCAUGAGAAGUUUCGAGGCCAAUGGAGCAACAGGACCCGCACUUCCUGCACAAACCUCUCGAUACCCAGAGACUAGCUCGGAGAUGGUGCUGUUGAAUUAAUAAAAAGCGCCGGCAUCCAUCAUUAGGAAGACGGCCUAUCACUUUGAAUCUUCUCUAUCCGAAACAGGUGAAGUUUCAAAGUGAGGGUACAUCUUCUUAACAUGGGUGUAAUGAAGACCGAAGCUUACUGCAUCUGAACUAUUCCACUAUUUAAACAUGUUCUGUUGCUUGUCUUAGGGCAAGGUGGGACUGAAGUUUGAUGGCAGCCAUAUCUUUACCAAGAGCCACACUCGGGAAGCGUUGAUGUUCCAAGAGCGGCGCUCUGUAAAGGCACAGUUAGAUCAUAAAAUUAAUACAUAUUCUUACCAAUGAACACCGAAGUUUAAUGCAAUUCUACUAUCAGACUAUUUAAACAGAUAGGCGUGAUGGGACUAAAUAAUCAACAACUGUGGCUGUUCCGAGAGCUGCUUUCGGUAAAGAAGUCAAACCGUGAUCGUGCCGCCGCGGCCGGCUGUGCCACGUGGCAAAACGUUGCCAUGCAUGCACUGCAUGGCUAUCGGCAAAUAGUUCUUUUGCUGAGUGUUGCCUUUUUGCCGAGGCCUACUCUGAGAUGCGCCUGUUGCCGAGAGGCACUCUUGGCGUCUGCUACUUUGCCGAGUGUCCGCAGUUUAGCUCUCGGCAAAGAGCCUGGCACACGGUGUAUACAAAAAUUCCAGUAGUGUUUAUACGUGGAAUGUAGGGUGCAGUCCAAGCCAACACGAAUCACCUUUGGGAUGCUACAGUCAAAGGGAAAAAAGUGGCUGUCACAAACUAAAAAUUCAGGCACCUGACCAUUAGCAAAACCUAAUAGCAGUAUACUCCCUCCGUUCCGAAUUACUUAUCUUAGAUUUAUCUAGAUACGGAGGUAUCUAGCACUAAAAUGAGUCUAGAUAUAUCCGUAUCUAGACAAAUUCAAAACAAGUAAUUCGGAACAGAGGGACUAGAUAAUAGAAGCCUCCGGAUUGCCUGUGGCCGUCCUCUCUUCGAUCCUGAAACCGACCGGAACACUGCGAAUCGUAACCAAUCAGUGUAGCCGACCGGCCGGACUAUAUCAAGCGUAUACGUACGGCCGGAGAUAUGUACGCAAGAACGCACGUAGACACGGACACACGGCACGUUAACUACAUAUAUACAGGAAUAUCGUCGACGAGGCGGCGAUAUCUCCCGCUCGAUGGUCGACGUCGAGAACCCUGACGCCGGGGAGGCGGAGCCCAACGAGUGUAGCAGGCAUAUGUUGACUUCCCUGAUGGGUUUUGCCUUCUUCGCGUUCAUGUUCGUCUUCGGGUACGCUGCGGCGCUGCUGGAAGAGUCCCAUCCGGCGUCGACGAACGCCGCCCUGAUCGCCCUGUCGCUGCUGGCCCUCUUCUUCGGGUGCUGGUUUGGCGGCAUCUUCGUGAUCCUCGUGGCGGAGUGGCACCACGGCGGGGUAGAGGGACAUGCUAGGUUUGCUGAUGAUUUGAUCCAGUCCGAUAGAUUUAUUCUUCCUGGAUCAAUCCAUCAGUUUCUAAUUCGCAUCGGUCAGCAUGUAGAUGCAUAGUCUUCUCUUGUAGUCUUGUUAUCGAUUUUUUACUAUUACCGUCUUCCACCGCCGCCGGUUCGUCUGGCCUCCCGCGAUGUGGGGGAACCACAGUUUGGGGUGGUUGUGUAAUCCCCGAUUGCUGGAUGGCGUCAUCGGCAACAAGAAAUAAUAUGUUUCCGUCUUGUUGACAUUGAUAGACGGCGUCUCUGGAGCUUCACUAGAGUCAGAUCUUGAGAGUUGAGACUCUGUCUUUAUUUCGUCUACAUGACUGGCGGCGUCCUAUGAUGGGGAUGGCGCCGCGGUAUGUUUUUGUUCUUCUGUUCGGUCAGAGAUGGAUUAUACUUCCUCCGUUCUAAAAUAGAUGACUCAACUUUGUACUAAUUUUAGUACAAAGUUAGUAUAAAGUUGGGUCAUCUAUUUUGGAACGGAAGGAUUAUAUAUAUAUAUAGUAGCACUAUUCUGAUUAUGGGAUCAGAAUAGUUAUUUGGAUCACGGAGCCCUAUAUAGCGAUCGGGUGGUUCCCGAACUCCCCAACCCUCUGCGAAAAAACAUUCCUACCCCACCACCCCACGACCGCUCGUCCCUAACCUCUCCCCCGAUCCCCUGUGAUCCACCGCGACAUCGCCUCCUUCCCCUGGAUCCAGCGCCUCUCGCCGCCGUCUCCCCGGCCCCGGCGCGCCUCUCUCCCUCCCCAGAUCGCCUCCCACCGCCUCCUGCUUCUAGCCGCCCCCGCGCCUUCACCCGACAACGCGCCGCCGCCCUGCAUCUCGCCGCCACCGCCGCCCUCCCUGGAUCUCGCCGCCGCGUGCCUCCUNNNNNNNNNNNNNNNNNNNNNNNNNNNNNNNNNNNNNNNNNNNNNNNNNNNNNNNNNNNNNNNNNNNNNNNNNNNNNNNNNNNNNNNNNNNNNNNNNNNNNNNNNNNNNNNNNNNNNNNNNNNNNNNNNNNNNNNNNNNNNNNNNNNNNNNNNNNNNNNNNNNNNNNNNNNNNNNNNNNNNNNNNNNNNNNNNNNNNNNNNNNNNNNNNNNNNNNNNNNNNNNNNNNNNNNNNNNNNNNNNNNNNNNNNNNNNNNNNNNNNNNNNNNNNNNNNNNNNNNNNNNNNNNNNNNNNNNNNNNNNNNNNNNNNNNNNNNNNNNNNNNNNNNNNNNNNNNNNNNNNNNNNNNNNNNNNNNNNNNNNNNNNNNNNNNNNNNNNNNNNNNNNNNNNNNNNNNNNNNNNNNNNNNNNNNNNNNNNNNNNNNNNNNNNNNNNNNNNNNNNNNNNNNNNNNUCCCUCAACAGUGGCACGCCUCGUCCCCCAUCGCCGGUAUUCCUUUCCCAUGGACAUCGUGCCUCCUCUCCCCCACGGCCGGUGAGCCUCCUCCCCCAUGGACGAUCCAUUCUGUCUAUGCGCCGUCCUCCUCCUGGCUGCGUCCCAUCGAGCGCCGCCCCUGCAUCUUGCCACCACCGCAUCGAGCGCCGCAGCACUCAGGUCGUUCGCCACCACCACCUUCGGCCGUUCAACGAUGCAGCAGCAAGACGUUCAAUGCCUCAGCCCCCCUGCGAAUCCCACUGUUGCAGCAAACCGGACGAGGCCCAUAUCUUUCUUCUUCGAUAAGAUAAUUUUGAUUGCAUACCGUGUUAUUUUGCUCUGUCAUUUUGCUGAUGCCUAAAAAGAAGUUAGAUGAUGGGCUUCUGAUCCCUACUAUGGUCUCAAGCUGCCUCCAACCUUUGGCAAUAUUUGUAAAAAUGAUUGUGCAGAUUUUUCGUUACCCCAUUUUUAGUUACUGAUUGAAGAAAAUUUUGUUCAUUAGGUGAAAGAACUUGAUUUCUUUUUUUCCUUUGUGGAGGAAGAAGGUCACCACAGAGGAAGGGAGAAGGUCAGCAUAACGGCAGGGAGAAGGUCACAUAAGGUGCAGAAAGAAUGUCAGAGUUCAGCAACGGGGUGUGUGAUCUUUGUGUUGUUUUUGGGAUGCAAAUCAUGGGUAUGCGAUCUUACAUCCUGUGUACUAUUGAGAUGGCCUCCCUUAGCCUCAAACCAUAUUGCCCCCUGGAUCCCUCCGAAGAGACAGGCCUGUGACGAGCGCCGCCGUUCAUGCUCCUGCGCGCCACCACACCGAGUCUGGUCGUCUCCGCUGCUGCCAUUGAACGUGCUCCGCCGUGGACGCCCCCAUGCAUCCACCCGCGUGGUAAGGUGCCGGGUGUGCACUCCCAACACACAAAAACCUGGGCAGACACAUCACCGGGAGCCACCUCCCCCAAUCCCUGCCGCCAUUCCAUGCAGCAUCGUGCACGCGUGCUUCUUGUCUCCGUCUGGCCUGGGCAGCACUUCAGUUAGAUUUUGCCAACCACCAUUUCAGCCGGCCAAUGUGUAUAUUUUCAGCAGGUCAAUUUGCAUAUAUUCAGCAGGCCAAUGUGUUGAUUGAACAAAAUUGUGUAUUCAAAACUAGUAGAGCAAUGUUGAUGUUUUCAGCAGACUAAUGUUUUAUGAACCUAUUAGUAGGGAUGCCCUAGCGCUACAAAACAUGUGUAUUCUAAGGUUGCCAUGCUGACAAACUUUCAGUGAUACAUGCACGUUCUUUGUGGUGGUCAAAAAUAAAAUGCCUACUAUGCUACAUUUUUUAUAUAUCCAGUACUACAAAGACUGCUACAUUUUUUAUAUAUCUAGUACUACAAAAGACGGAAACAAUGUGCUACCCUUCCUCCUACUUCCAAUUUCCAUGUGCAUCUCUUCAUCAAUAAAAAAAAUGUUCAUUUUGAAAAUUAUAAAAAAAACUAGAAUUCCCUCUUUCAGGAAAAAGCUUAGAGGUUCAAAUCUUAAAGGCGAAGAAAUUCAAUGUUUGUUACAACACCUAAAAGAAGGUCAAAUUAAAAAAACAAAGCAUCUCAAAACAAACUUAUAAAAAUGGAUUUUCUCCAUUUUAGAAAACCUAGAAGUUUAGAUUUUAAGAACAGAGCGGUUUGAUGUUUAUUAAAAAACUAGCAUUUUUUCCGUUACUAAAAGAAAAACCAAGAAGUCCAAAUUAAAAAAAAGGAGCAGUUCGAUUUUCAUACAAGAUUCAGAUCUUGCUCGUUAUUAAAGGAAGAAACAGGAAGUUCAAAAAAAUAAAAGGCAAGAAGUUCAAGUUUUAAAAAAUAGAGUAGUUCAAAAUUCAAUAAAGAAGAAUUAUCACCAUUUAUAAAUAAAUAAACACUAGAAGUUCAAUUUUGAGAAACACAGAGGUUCAAUAUUGAUGACAAAAUUAUGAUUUUUUCCAUCACUAAAAUAAGUAAGUCAAGAAGUCCAAAUUACAAAAAUAGAGAAGUUCAAUUUAAAGAAGCUUGAUUUUCCUCGUUACUAAAGAAUAAAUCAAGAAAUUCAGUUUGAAAAAACCAAGAAGUUGUACAAUGUUUAUUACAUUUCUAAAAAAUACACAAUGAAGUUCAAAAAUAGAAAAGGUAGAACGGUUCAAUAUCUAUAAAAAUCUCAGAUAUUUUCACGCAACUCAGAGAAGUUCAGAUUGAUAGCUACCAGAAGUUCACGUUCGAAAUACACAAUGUAAAAAGAAUGAAAAGAAAAAAGGCUAAAAGUUUUGUUGCUAGAAGUUCAAGUGCUCGCCCUCAGAAGUUCAAAAAUUCUUGUGAGAGAGGUUGAACAAAAAUACGUGACAGAAGUUCAACAUGAAAACAACGGGAAGUUCAACUAGUACACGGAAUGCAUUUCAGGCAAGAAAUAUAAGAAUGGAAAACUAAAAGAUUAAUAUGAGAAAAAUGAAAUAAAGGCAAGGUUCAAUUUUUUUGUUGCUAUAAGUUGAAGUCCUUGGUCGGAGAAAGUUAAAAAAAAUUAUUGUGAGAGAACUUUGUAUAAAAGGAAUAUCAUUUGUGCAACACCGACGAAAUGGAUGAGAAAUUACAAACGAAAAUACGUCACAUAAGUUCAACGUGAAAACAGAAGGAAAUUCAACUACUACACUGAAUGAAUAUCAGAUGAAAAACUUUUACAAUCUUCGCGCGUAUGAAAAAAUGAUUAACACGGGAAAGUUGCGUGUCUACGACAGCUUUCCACCGGUAUGUCAUUUGCUCAAUUCCGGUGAGUGGAUGGAGAGUUACGAGCAGUGGAUGGAGACCUAUGAGAAAAAAAAUCACAUGAAAAAACAGAGUGAAGUUCAGGUGCGCACGCCGAGAAGUUCAGGUUCUUCACGUGAUGCAUUUCCGAAGAAUCUGUUUCGCGAUAAAGGCAAAACGAAUGAUCUCGUCGUUUUCAAAAUUACUUGAAAACGGCUAGGAAUUAGAGAAAACCAUCAACAUGAAAAAGUUUCGCAUUUUCCGUAUCUUUUCGGUGGUAUAUUAUUAGCCCCAUUCCGAUAAAGUUUGUAGAAAUUACGGCGAAAAUACGUUUUUAUCCAUUUUCAAAACUGACAUAAAACAGUAAGGAAUUGGGAGACAAAAUAUAUACCAAAAAGUUACGCAUUUCCUCAAGCUUUCCAACGCCAUAUCAUUUGCUACAUUCGGACGUACGGUUAAAAAAUUAGCUCAAAAAUACACACUCGGUGCAACUUGGACCGUUUUAUAAAUCACUUUUAAACCAUUUACAAUUAGAAAAAUAUCUCAACAUGAAAAAGUAGCACAAUUUCAUAAGCUUUCCAACGCCAUAUCAUUUGCCUCAAUUGGAUUAGCCAUUUAGAAAUGACAUCGAAAAUACGGACACGGCUGUUCGGUUUGUGAAAUUUUACGUUUUUUCAAAUUACUCUUUAACCGUAGGGAAUUAGAGAAAACUUUUAACAUGUGGAAGAAGCGGUAUUGCAGCAGUUUUCCAACGCCAUAUUACUUGCCUCAUUAUGAUAAACGGUUUAGAAAUGCGAUUCACGUUUUUUGUGUGAACAAACGGUUUUCAAAACUACUCUUAAACCGUUUACAUUUUGCGAAAAAUUUAACUUGGGUCAUGAUACUCGUGUCCAUAGCUUUCCAACGGUAUAUAGCAAGCCCUAUUUGGGCAAUGUUGCGGGAAGUUCAACCUAGCACAAUGGGAAGUUCAGGUCGAACAACUCAGGCAGUAAAAUCGCAAAAAACGCGAGUUCUUCACGACCCCAGUGCAAAAUACGACUAUGAGCGAGAUUCCUAUCUAAAACAAGUAUUUAGUUAGUAAAAAUCGUUUAAAGAUUACACUUACAUCACAUGGAACACGACUAACCAGAAAAAACUCGCGGUAGAAGGCACGGUUGCGAAGAUAGCCCGAAGGUCGGGUUCGUACAGAGAGAAGUUCAGGCGCGCGUACAAACAAAAAUACGUCACAGAAGUUCAACGUGAAAACAACAUGAAGUUCAACUACUAUGCUGAAUGAAUUUCAGAUGAAAAAAUUUUAAAAUCGUUGCGAGUAUGAAAAAAUGAUCAACACGGGAAAGUUGCGUGUUUACAGCCGCUUUCCAUCGGUGUAUCGCUUGCUCAAUUCCGGUGAAUGGAUGGAGAGCUACGAGCAGUGAAUGGAGACCUACGAGCAAAAAAAUACGUGAAAAAACAGAGUGAAGUUCAGGUACACGCGCCGAGAAGUUCAGGUACUUCACGCCAUGCAUUUUUUGCGGAUCUGUUUCGCAAUAAAGGCAGAACGAAUGAUCCCGCCGUUUUCGAAAUUACUUGAAAACGGCUGGGAAUCAGAGAAAACCAUCAACAUGAAAAAGUUUUGCAUUUUCCUUAGCUUUUCAACGGUAUAUUAUUUGCCCCAUUCCGAUCAAAUUUAUAGAAAUUACGACAAAAAUACGUUUUUAGCCAUUUUCAAAACUGACAUAAAACCUUAACGAAUUAGGAGAAACAAUAUAUACAGAAAAGUUUCGCAUUUCUUCAGGCUUUCCAACGCCAUAUCAUUUGCUGCAUUUGGACGUACGGUUAAAAAAUUAGCUCGAAAAAUACGAACUCGGAGGAACUUGUAUCGUUUUCUAAAUUAAUUUUAAACCAUUGAAAAUUAGAAAAAACUUUUAACAUGAAAACUUAGCGCAAUUCUAUAAGCUUUCCAACGCCAUAUCAUUUGCCUCAAUUGGAUCAGCCGUUUAGAAAUGACAUCGAAAAUACGAAGUCGGCUGUUCGGUUUGCGAAAUUUUACGAUUUUCCAAAUUACGCUUUAACCAUAGGGAAUUAGAGAAAACUUUUAACAUAUGGAAGGAGCGAUUUUGCAGCAGCUUUCCAACGCCAUAUUAUUUGCCUCAUUCCGAUAAACGGUUUAAAAAUGCGAUCGAAAAUACGAUUCACGUUUUUUUUGUGAAGAAAAAACGAUUUUCAAAACUGCUCUUAAACUACUUACAUUUUGCCGAAAAUUUAACUUAGGUGAUGAUACUGGUGUUCAUAGCUUUCCAACGGUAUAUCGCAAGCCCCAUUUGGACACCUUUUAGCUGAAGUUCAACCUAGUACUCGGGGAAGGUCAGGCGCGUUACUCGGGAAGUUCGGGUUGUGAUCAGAAUAUUAUUCUGAUCCCGUGAUCAGAAUAGUGUUUAUGUAUAUAUAUAUAUAUAAAUAGAAUUUCUAGUAGGACCAAUCAUAUAUAUAUCAUCAAUGUCUCACAAACCAUAUUAAUUCACACAUACACACAUGUAUAGCUAUAUACAAUUUCUCCUACAUAUGCAUGUUGCCUUCGAAGCCAGUGGCAUUAGCCUAAUUGGUGCCUUCGGAGCACGAUGACAAUUGGAAGUGGUUCAUGACCUGGUCGAUGGGGGCGGUAGCGGGUAAUAGUAUUCUCCCUUCGGAUUUAUGACCUGGUCGAGCAAAAAUCCCGCUAUUUCCUCUUGAAGUGCUUCUACGCGCUUCGUUUCUAGGAGCUUGUCCCGCACCUCUUUGAACUGUUAAGAAGGAGAUCAAUAUGCAUGUGUAUUAGUUGUGUGACUAGAUAUCGAUAAUGGUGUAAAAAUUGUGAAUAGUGUUUUGACAAGCGUACCCAUUCCUGUCUUUGAGAUCUGCUCCUUUUGGACGCCAUCAUGCGAGUGUUCUCGCAAACGCAGAAUGCACACAGAUCAGUCCCCUGCGCCUGCUUCAGGGCCUUUAUUACGAGAAUGGAAUUUAAUUUGAUCAGAUAAUAAUUAAUCAAGCAUGAUAAUUAAAGAGAUGGCAGCUAGCUAGCUAGCUAGUACUACUUAAUUACUUACCUUGGAUCGAAACCAUUUCAGCUUUGGUUUCCAUUCGCCUUCCGUGACGCUGAUGAACCUUGCCCAAGCCCUGCCCGCCGACAAAGAAAAUGAAUAAAGGGGUUAUUAAAUAGUUCAUAUCAUGAAAUGACGAACUAAAUAGGCCGAGAUAUAUAGUUAAUAAUGAUUGAAAUUACCUGUUAACUAUCCCAAACAAGAUGUUAUAGUCACUAUUUGCUUUGAGUAGCGAGUCCAGUAUUUCAACUGUUCCGGUGUCAACUUUAAUGAUACACAAGAUCCAGUGAAAUCUGCAUGCACACACGUUUGCAUGUCUUAAUUAAGCGGGCAUAUGUAAGCAAAAACAUGUAGCUAGCUAGUAGGCAAAAACAGAGAAUUUGUAGUACAAGAAAGUGUGACUCACUGGAAGUUGUAAGGAAGUAGUAUAUCUUCAUUGUAUUUGAGGCGCUUCAAGAACUCUAGCGUGCUGUCCUCUACCUCUUUUUCAUGAUGCUUGUUUAUUUUCCAUGUGUAUUCAUUAACGGUGUUUGGGUCAAUGAACCAAUGCCAUAGCGUCCACCUUUUCUCAUUUCAUACAUCUUCAUCCUGCAUAAUACCACAGAAAAGAAUAUAGUGAGGAUAAUUACAGGUAAUGAUUGAUCAAAAGGAUCACUACAGCUAGCUUGAGACUUAAAUUACAAAAAGAAAUCACUUACAGACAAUAGCAACUGACGAUAGAUUUGUCGAGUGCGUCUUGAUUGUAUAACUGAAACAGUUCAGAAUACUCAACGGCCACAGCUUUCUCAUGGUAGUAAUCAUCCUUCUUGACAUACACCAUGAGGGACUCUCGAUCGGAUCUCUUGAUAAUGUCCAUGUACCAUUGAUGCAAUUCAUACAUUCUCGUUGGGAGCUUGUUGACAUCUUCUGGCUCGACCAAAGGUUGGCCCCGGACAUAUUUUCCUUUUAUUUCCUCCUCUGUAAUCCCAAGCAUGUCCUCGAUCUCGAGGAGUUGUCCAACAGUGAUCUUGAGUUCUUCAGCCUGCAUUAUAUGCUCCUGGGUUAUUACCACAUCGCCCACCUCGGGAACGUAAACUGUUGGCCACAAUAAUAUUGGGCGCGCGUACUGUCACGUGUUGUUGGCGGCACAACAAGCGAGGGGAUCGAUUGCGCCGCUUGUUUUCCUAGCUGGGCAACGGUUUUCCCGCAUUUUUUGACAGCUGCUUGUUGUUUGCUCGAGCUCGAGCUCGCCUCCUUCUGUAGACGUCGUCGAUGUAACUUCCUAAUGUGGCGCUCAUAGUCUGUGUCAACAGGCUUAGGAGCUGGUGGUUGAGCCAUACGAAUGAAGUGGUCAACUACUUCCACAGGCACUUUCUCCCUUGGCGGCGGUGGCGGUUUCGGUCCAAAAUGGGUGUCGAGUUCUGCCUGCACUAUGGCAUUGGUUUGCUCCUCGGUCCUAUCAUAAGCCCUCACAGGAAGAGGAGUAGUGAGGUUUGGACCAUAUUUAUAUCGCUUGCCUCCGCCUGUACUUCCUGUACUAUGACCUCGACUCGUACCGCUACGCACCAUAGCUGCGGGGUGUCUCUUCUGCGAUUACUGAGGCGGCGGAGACGGCUGACGGGGCUGAGUUGGACGAGGAGGAGUGGCCUGAAGCUGUGCCGGACUUGCAGUGGCCUGAGGUUGUGCCGGACUUGGAGGAGGAGUGGACGUCUGACGCUGUGUCGGACUUGGAGGAGGAGUGGCCUGACACUUUGCCGGACUUGGAGGAGGAGGAGUGGCCUCACGCGUUGGUGGACUUGGAGGAGCGGGAGUCUGCUGACUCGAUGGCGGACUUCGAUGAGGAGUCGGGUGACGCGGUGUCGGUGGCCUUCGAAAGAUGAUGCAAUCCUUUCUCCAUAGGAUGACAUGAUGUAUGGCCUCUCCCAAUGUGUGCUCGUCAUCACCUCCAGGAAUGUCAAGCUGUAGCUCCGAAUAUGGGUCCACCACCUCAUCAACCAAGACACGAGCAUAGCCCGCUGGAAUCGGGUUGCAAUGGAAGGUUGCCUCGGGGGAAUUUGAAAAAGCAACGGCGUCCGCCACCUUCAUGGAUAUGUUCUUCAUUUUGAAGUGUAGCUCGCAGUUAGUGUUCUCCGUGAUGUCAUCCACGGGGUAUCUAUCCAGCAGUGCGUCGCCCGGGGCGGAACCCAUGCUGCUUCUCGGCAUGGAUGGGGCGGUGCUAUCCAAUGCUGGAUCAUCCGCUAGCUACUGUGGAUGCUGAGACCCCCUUUGCUGGCUAAGUGAGUCGAUCUGCUCCUGCUGCCGCUGGAAUUUAACUGCCAAUUCCGCUUGACUUGCUUCUAGGCCUUGAAGGCGUUCAUACUCCCCUUCCUCUGCUCCUCCUCCAUCUUCCUCUUCUUCUCCUCCACAAUAUUCUUUCUCGCACGGGUUCUGUAGUCGGCGUUCCAGUCCGAAAACCCCUCAUACCACGGAAUAGCGCCCUUGCCUCGUGUUCUUCCUGGGUGUUCAGGAUUUCCCAGGGCACGCGUAAGCUCGUCGUUCUCUCUGUUGGGCUGGAACACCCCCGAUCGAGCCUCUUCUAUUGCAACAAGUAGCGCAUCGUCGGCUCCGUUCAAACAUGCCUUCGUCGAAACAUUGCCUGUCUUCGGGUCCAACUCCCCCCCAUACGCAUAGAACCAAGUCCUGCACCUGGGGGGCCAGCUCUUAGUAACCAGAGUGACAUUUGCAUCCUCCAUCUCUUUCUCAGACUUAUCCCACUUAGGCAUUGCCACCGCGUAGCCACCUGGCCCCAGCUUAUGGAACUUAUCCUUUUUUUCGGCAUUCUUCUUGUUUAUUCUCGACCGUUUCUUAGCUAAUUCUGAAUCCUUGAAUUUCACGAAGUCCUCCCAAUGAGCACUUUGAUUCUCUAGUAUCCCCUCGAAUACUGGAGUCUUCCUUCCUCCCUUAAUGUACUUCUCCCACGUCGUUCUCUUGUGGUUCUUGAAUGCAACCGCCAUCUUCCUAAAAGCAGCGUCCUUGACUUUCCGCACAUCUGCUUCUGUGAAAUGAUCUGGUAGGGUGAAAUGUUCCAUGAGAGUAUCUCAAAGCAGUUUUUUUUAUUCUCGUCGACAAAAGUAACAUUUGGACGUGGCUUUGGUGGCUUUCUCCAUUCUUGAAGGGAGAUCGGGAGUUGGUCCUUCACAAGAACUCCGCACUGACGAACGAACUUGUCCGCAAUCUUCUUAGGCGCUAAUGGUUCGCCAUUAGGUUUGAUGGCCUCGAUAUUGUACUUUACACCCUCCUUCAACUUUUUGUUCGGGCCUCGUUUCGUCCUUUUGCCUGAAGAUUUGCUCGAUCCGGAUGGCUAAAAGAAGAAAGAUCGAUUCGUUAAUAUAUCUUCAACUCAUUUAAAACAUGCAUCACCAGAUUCUUGCUUAUAUAAAUAUAUAUACCUCGCCGGUGUUUGUUGUUUCAGGAUCAACAUGUUCUUCGUCGUAGUUCAUGACUUCAUCUUCUCAGUCGUCGCGAUCGAAUAUCAUAUCACCCUCUCCGGUGUUGUUUAGAAAUUCGGAGCCGUCAAAAUCUUCUUCAUUCUGAUCAUCAUCUAGCCCGCGUAUGAUAUCGAACAUGGUCUGUUCUCUCUCUCUGUCGGUAUUGUCCGCCAUAGCUUUUAUUUAACUAUGCCAAAAUAAAUAUAAAACAAUUUAGUAUAAUCUCGAAUACAUCGUCUCGAAUAAUAGAUAUAAUCUCGAAUACAUCGUCUCGAAUAAUAGAUUUAAUCUCGAAUACGUCGUCUCGAAUAAUAGAUAUAAUCUCGAAUACAUCGUCUCAAAUAAUAUAUAUAAUCUCGAAUAAAUCAUCUCGAAUAUUAUAUAUCGAAAACAUCACUAGCUAGCUAAUAAAGAUCGAAUACUAGAGAGUAAUCUAGGCGGUGAACAACCAAAGUGAAGGAACCAUCACUGGAUUAUAGCUCGGGUGAUCUCCCCAAAGAACCUGCCAGGUAUUGGAGAACCUGACGUCCAUAGCAGCCAUGUAGCGAUGGACGUGCUCGUCCUCCUCCUUGACACGGCGACGUACCACCUCCGGCGGGGCCGGCUCCCUCCGCACCGAAAGUGGCCCACGCGAAUGCCACCAAAGGAGAUGAGGGUCGACGACGGGACCCGGGGCCGGGUUCCUCACCAAGCGUCGCGCCCCUGAAGGUAGCACCUCCCAGUGCCAGCCCGGCGGAGCCCAGUCCCGGACAUGGGUCCUCUGAAGCAGGACGUCGUCGCGAACGGGUCGACGGCGAGGAUGCGGGUCGGGCAUCAUCGACAACAAAUACUAUAUGCAAAUGUAACACUAAUUAUGCUAUCAUUGCAUAUGUCAAAAUUCUAUAUGCUAUUUCAUACUAAUUAAGCAUCUAACACUAAAAACAGAAAAAACAAUUUCUAUACAUCCAUUAAAAACAGAAAAACAACAUUAUAUAAAAAAAUUCCAUACUAAUUAAACACUAAUUAUAUCCAUCUAACAUGCAUUCAUACAUAUAUACUAGUGAAAAAAUAAUAAUCUAAAAAAUCUAAACUAAUUAAACAUACAAAAUACGUAUAUACUAAUUAACUUAAGGAAAUGUGCGUGUGUGUGUGUUCAUCAUGCUUGUGUGUGUGUAUGGGCUCGGGGAGGGGCGGCGCUCAUGGUGGCCACCAGGGGCGAGGGAGAGGGGUUAGAGGGGGAGAGCUCACAGCGGGGCGACGGCGACGGCGAGGCGACGGCCCGGGGCGGCGACGGGCCNNNNNNNNNNNNNNNNNNNNNNNNNNNNNNNNNNNNNNNNNNNNNNNNNNNNNNNNNNNNNNNNNNNNNNNNNNNNNNNNNNNNNNNNNNNNNNNNNNNNNNNNNNNNNNNNNNNNNNNNNNNNNNNNNNNNNNNNNNNNNNNNNNNNNNNNNNNNNNNNNNNNNNNNNNNNNNNNNNNNNNNNNNNNNNNNNNNNNNNNNNNNNNNNNNNNNNNNNNNNNNNNNNNNNNNNNNNNNNNNNNNNNNNNNNNNNNNNNNNNNNNNNNNNNNNNNNNNNNNNNNNNNNNNNNNNNNNNNNNNNNNNNNNNNNNNNNNNNNNNNNNNNNNNNNNNNNNNNNNNNNNNNNNNNNNNNNNNNNNNNNNNNNNNNNNNNNNNNNNNNNNNNNNNGACGACGACGGGGGCGGCGACGGGGACAGGGGCGGCGACGGGGAUGAGGGCGGCGACGAGGAUGGGGGCGGCGACGGCAACGACGAGCGACGGGGGCGGCGUAGGACGGGGGCGGCGACGGCGUCGAUCGAUCGGGACGGGCGGUGCUUCAAUGGGGAAACAGAGGAAGAAACAGAGGGAGAAUGAAAUUUUUCGAAGUGAUGUAUAUAUAGAAGGCACCUUUAGUACCGGUUGGAGCCACCAACCGGUACUAAAGGCCUGUUUUGGCCAGGCCAAGCAGCGGGAAGCACCCCCCUUUAGUACCGGUUCGUGGAACCAACCGGUACUAAAGGCCCCCCCUUUAGUACCGGUUGGUGCCACGAACCGGUACUAAAGGGGGGUACGCUGCCAGGCGAGGGGCACAAAAGUUUAGUCCCACCUUGCUAGCCGAGGGGCACUCGCAUCUGCUUAUAAGCCCCGCCGUCGCUGCUGUCUCGAGCUCCUCUCUUAAGCAGGCCUUCUGGGCCUACCUCUUCUGCGAUGCCCUGUUGGGCCUACUGGGCUAGCGGGCCUGCAUCCUGGCCCAACUUGAAUUUGGGUUUCUAGUCGUAUGCAGGCCGCUGUGGCCCAGUAGGUGGGCUUUUUUCUUAUUUUUUUGCUUUAUUUAUUUUUGUGAAUAACUUAACUUUGAAAAUAUAUUUUUCAGUGAUUCUUUUUUCUUAUGUUUAAUAUUAGUGUGUUUUAUCAUUAUAUUCAAUUUGGUAAUGCUUAGGUUAUUUGAAAAAUGAAAUGCCUUUGUAACAGAUGAGUUUUCGUCCGAAACCCUGAUACUUCGAAACAGAUUGUCCAUUUUGUACACGAAGUGCAUCCAGUUUUUGCGGUAACCCUCUCUACUUUUUUGCACAUGCUAUGUGGGUGAAAUUAUGAUACCAUGCCAACUUUCAUCCUUUUCUGAGUUCAUUUGAAAUGCUUUUCAAUUUCAGGGUCAUUUAGCUGGAAAAAAUCAGUAAGUGCAUGAAAGAAUUUGCUUGCACAUAAAAUUUCUUCGCGUUUCAAAUGCCAAAACACAUAACUAGCUACCCUAACUAUUACAGAGAUUCCCUCCUGGGUGUGAAACACAUAAGAAAGUGAUGAUAGUUAAGCCGAUCACAUCCCAGAUCUUUGGGUGUGAAACUUUUUCUUCGCGUGUGUCCCUUUGCGUCGUAGCCAUGGAAAAUCUUCAUCAUUUAACGGGAUGCUCGGGUCAAUAUUCACUGUGAAUGGAGCAAUUUCAUCAAACUUUUCAUAAUCUUCUGACUUGUCUGUAUUGUCAUCCACUCCCACGAUGUUUCUCUUCCCAAAAAGAACUAUGUGCCGCUUUGGCUCAUCGUACGAUGCAUUCGCUUCCUUAUCUUUUCUUUUUCUUGGCUUGGUAGACAUGUCCUUCACAUAGAAAACCUGUGCCACAUCAUUGGCUAGGACGAAUGGUUCGUCUGCAUACGCAAGAUUGUUGAGAUCCACUGUUGUUAUUCCGUACUGCGGGUCUUCCGUUACCCCGCCUCGUGUCAUAUUGACCCAUUUGCACCGAAACAAAGGGACCUUCAAACCACGUCGAUAGUCAAGUUCCCAUAUGUCUUGUAUAUAACCAUAAUAUGUUUCCUUUCCCGUCUUGGUUUCUGCAUCAAAGCGGACACCACUGUUUUGGUUGGUGCUCUUCUUAUCUUGGGCGAUCGUGUAAAAUGUAUUACCAUUUAUCUCGUACCCUUUGAAAGUCAUUAUAUUCGAAGAUGGUAACUGGGACAGCAAGUACAGGUCAUCUUCAAUAGAGGUGUCAUGCAUGGUACGUGCUUGCAACCAGCUGGCGAAACUCUUGGUUUGUUCACGUAUAAUCCAGUCAUCUGACCGCUCCGGGUGUUUGGAGCGUAGCAAAUUCUUGUGUUCAUCCAUAUACAGAGCCACCAAGGCGGAAUUUUGUAGAACUAUGUAGUGUGCUUCAGUGAGAGAAUGUCCGUCCAUACAUAUUAUUUGUUCCCCUCCUAGCGUGCCUUUUCCAUCCAGUCUGCCCUUAUGCCGCGAUUCAGGAACACCAAUCGGCUUAAGGUCAGGAAUAAAGUCAAUACAAAACUCAACGACCUCCUCAUUUUGACGGCCCUUGGAGAUGCUUCCUUCUGGCCUAGCACGGUUAUGAACAUAUUUCUUUAAGACUCCCAUGAACCUCUCAAAGGGGAACAUAUUGUGUAGAAAUACAGGACCCAAAACGUUAAUCUCUUCGCAUAGGUGAACUAGGACAUGCGUCAUGAUGUUGAAGAAGGACGGUGGAAACACCAACUCGAAACUGACAAGACAUUGCACCAAAUCAUUCUGUAACCUUGAUAUGAUUUCUGGAUCGAUUACCUUCUGAGAGAUUGCAUUGAGAAAUGCACAUAGCUUCACAAUGGCUAAUCGAACGUUUUCUGGUAGAAGCCCCCUCAAUGCAACCGGAAGCAGUUGCGUCAUAAUCACGUGGCAGUCAUGAGACUUUAGGUUCUGGAACUUUUUCUCUGCCAUGUUUAUUAUUCCCUUUAUAUUUGACGAGAAGCCAGAUGGUACCUUAAUACUGAGCAGGCAUUCAAAGAAGAUUUCCUUCUCUUCUUUGGUAAGAGCGUAGCUUGCAUGACCCUGAUGUAUGCCGUCUUUUCCGUGCAUACGUUGCUGGUUCUCCCGUGCCUCAGGUGUAUCUUUUGUCUUCCCAUACACACCCAAGAAACCAAGCAGGGUCACACAAAGAUUCUUCGUCACGUGCAUCACGUCGAUUGCGGAGCGGACCUCGAGGUCUUUCCAAUAGGGCAGGUCCCAAAAUAUAGAUUUCUUCUUCCACAUGGGUGCGCGUCCGUCAGCGUCAUUCGGAACAGGUUGUCCACCAGGACCCUUUCCAAAGACCACCUUCAAAUCCUUGACCAUAUCAUGUACAUCAGCACCAGUACGGUGGCGAGGCUUCGUCCGGUGAUCUGCCUCACCUUUGAAAUGCUUGCCUUUCUUUCUUACGGGAUGCCUGCUCGGAAGAAAUCAACGAUGUCCCAGGUACACAUUCUUAUUAGCCAAAUAUAUACUAUCGGUAUCGUCCAAACAAUGUGUGCAUGCGCGGUAUCCCUUGUUUGUCUGUCCUGAAAGGUUACUGAGAGCAGGCCAAUCAUUGAUGGUCACGAACAGCAACGCCUUUAGGUCAAAUUCUUCCCCCAUGUGCUCAUCCCACGCACGUACACCUGUUCUAUUCCACAGUUGUAAGAGUUCUUCAACUAAUGGCCUUAGGUACACAUCAAUGUCGUUGCCGGGUUGCCUAGGGCCUUGGAUGAGCACUAGCAUCAUAAUGAACUUUCGCUUCAUGCACAACCAAGGAGGAAGGUUAUACAAACAUAGAGUCACGGGCCAGGUGCUAUGGUUGCUGCUCUGCUCCCCAAAAGGAUUAAUGCCAUCUGCGCUUAGACCAAACCAUACGCUCCUUGCGUCAUCUGCAAACUCCUUCCCGUACUUUCUUUCGAUUUUUCUCCACUGCGACCCGUCAGCGGGUACUCUCAACUUUCCGUCUUUCUUACGGUCUUCUCUGUGCCAUCGCAUCGCCUUAGCAUGCUCUUUGUUUUGGAACAAACGUUUCAACCGUGGUAUUAUAGGAGCAUACCACAUCACCUUGGCAGGAAUCUUCUUCCUGGGGUGCCGGCCCUCGACAUCACCAGGGUCAUCGCGGCUAAUCUUAUAGCGCAAUGCACCACAUACCGGGCAAGCGUUCAAAUCCUCGUACUCACCGCGGUAGAGGAUGCAAUCAUUAGGGCAUGCAUGUAUCUUCUGCAACUCUAACCCUAGAGGGCAGACAACCUUCUUUGCUUCGUACGUACUCUCGGGCAAUUCGUUGUCCUUUGGAAGCAUAUCCUUUAUCAUUACCAGCAACUUUCCAAAUCCCUUGUCAGAUACACCAUUCUCUGCCUUCCAUUGCAGCAAUUCCAGUGUAGUGCCCAGCUUUUUCUUGUCACCUACGCAAUUCGGGUACAACAAUUUUUUGUGAUCCUCUAACAUGCGCUGCAACUUCUUCUUCUCCAAAUCACUUGCGCAGUUUCUCUUUGCAUCGGCAAUGGUCCGACCUAGAUCAUCAACGGGCACAUCUGAUGCCUCUUCUUCAGCUUCUUCCCGCAUUGCCGGCUCAGCUUCUUCCUGCAUUACCGGCUCAGCUUCUUCCCCCAUUGUUGUAUCAUCGUAUUUAGGGAACCCAUGGCCAGGAUAGCUGUCGUCGUCCUCUUCUUCUUCAUUGUCUUCCAUCAUAACCCCUCUUUCUCCGUGCUUGGUCCAAACAUUAUAAUGGGGCAUGAAACCGGACUUAAACAGGUGGACGUGAAUGGUUCUUGACGUAGAGUAAUUGUGACCAUUCUUACAGCGAGCACAUGGACAAGGCAUAAAACCAUCCGCCCGCUUGUUUGCCUCAGCCGCAAGCAGAAAAGUAUGCACGCCCUCAAUGAACUGGGGAGAGCAUCGGUCAUCGUACAUCCAUUGCCGGCUCAUCUUCAUUACACAACACCGAAUAGACCAAAUUAAUACAAGUUCAUACAUAAAGUUCAUACAACACUUAAAUGCAACAAACAAAUAACUCUCUAGCUAAAGCAUUUAAAUGCAACAACAAAUACGAUCAAGAUCGCAAUUAAGGUAACAAUGGAUCCAACAGCAUAAUGAUACCAAGCCUCAAUAUCGAUGGCAUAUUUUCUAAUCUUUCUAAUAUUCAAGCGCAUUUUCUCCAUCUUCAUCUUGUGAUCAUCGACGACAUCGCAAUAUGCAACUCCAAUUCCAUCUUCUCCCCCUCAAUUCUUUUCAAUUUUUCUUUCAAGUACUCGUUUUCUCUUUCAACUAAAUUUAACCUCUCGGCAAUAGGGUCGGUUGGAAUUUCUGGUUCACAUACCUCCUAGAAAAAACUUAUAUGUCAACUUGAUGGGCAUAAUUUGUCAUAAACACGAAAUGCAACUAGUUUUAAAAGAGAAUAUACAUACCACAUCCGAAUCAUAACAAGGACUAGGGCCGACGGGGACGGAUAUCAAAACCAUGGCACUAUAUGUAUAACAAACAACGUACGGGUAAGAUAAUUAUAUGAGUAACUAUAUAUCCAAAUCACACAAACAUCAAUUUUUAUAUAAAAUUUCAUGAACAAGAGGCUCACCACAAGGUGGUUCCGGCGACGGGACGGUGCGGGCGAUCGCGGUGGCUAUGAUGGAGAUUUAGAAGGCACUAAGUAAACCACACCUACAUAUGCAAACUAAGUGUUAUUUUUGAUUUCAAAUUUUAUAUAAAUCAAAUACUAGCACAUAUAUAUAUAUAUAUAUAUAAUUCCUCCCAAAUUACUAAACUCACAAAUUAAUCACUAUAUAAAGCAUUGCAAGAGCUAAUCUAGCAAUGAGAGAUGAAAGGACAAAGUUGCUAACCUUUGUGAUCAUUUGAAUGGAUGGGGGCCUUCAAAUCUUGACAAAUUUUGGGCAAAAUGUGUGAUGAGCUCGAGAGGAAGAGGGGAAGAACAGAGAGGAGAGGGGAAAGGGGAAGAACAGAGCGAGCUCGGGUGGACGAAGGGUUUAUGUAGGACGACCUUUAGUACCGAUUUGUGCCAAGAACCGGUACUAAAGGGGCUGGAGGGGCCCCAUUCUGACAACAUCCUGCCACCACUCUCAUUAGUACUGGUUCGUGGCACGAAUCGGUGCUAAAGGUUCGCCACGAACCGGUACUAAUGAAAGUGGCCCGGCUAGCCGUUGGAACCGGCACUAAUGUGCUUCACGUUUGACCCUUUUUCUACUAGUGCCAGGCAGUCCGCACGCCGCCUUCAGCAAGCAGCUGUGGCGGCCCGCACCGGCCUGGGAGCACGGGCACUGACGGGCGCGCCGCGCGCAGGCCAUUAGCCAUGUCAUUAUCCAGUGUCGGGGGAUAGAGAUGGCGCCGCUGGUUGCCGGCUGAUCGCACACCUGUUUGCUGCGUAACCUGCCACCGAAUCACUCAAUCAACACACAAGAGAGUGGUGGAGGGGAAGAGUGAUCGGGUGGUGGUGCGUGCGUACCGAAGAGCUCGAUGAUGAUGGGGGCGAAGCCGUUGAGCGUGAUGAUGUCCUCGGAUGCCGUCCUCAACGCCGCCUCUCCUCGGCAUCGCACUCAUCUUGGGGAACCCGUGGAGAUGCCUUCCCCGCGUGUGGAGCUAGUCCGGCGACGCCGCUGAAGAGGCCGUCGCCACCAGGGCCGGUCCUGAGAUUUCGGGGGCCCGGGACGAACUAAGAAUUGGGGGACCUUAAUAUACAAGUCAUUAUAAUAUAAGUAUAUAUAUAAAUUUAUCUAAAAAAUUGUGCAUAUAUAAAUUACUAUCAGUAACACUUCAAUGCAUCUAACAUCAGUAUGCGUAUCAAAUAAUUUAUAUAUAUUACCUUAAAAAUUUCCCAGAGCCACUUACAUUGUUAUCGCCGGUGUUGGUGUUGAUAUUUUCUUCUUGCUGAUCAGAGUCCGAAUUUCCAUUAGUCUGUUGCUCUUCCACUAUGGCAACCAUCGCCAACGCAUCAUCUGGGUUUGUCGAAGUAGUGGAAGCACCAAUAUUAGUCGGCCACUUGAGAAAUUUGUGAAUACCCGCACGUUGUGCGUGUGUCAAUUUCUCCACUUCCUUCUUUUUCCUUUUGCUGCUACCUGAUAAUUCCUCUUACUGGAGGACUUCAUAAUAACACACACACAAUGCUGAAAAUUAAAAAAAAUGGUUCUAUCAAUUAUUGAACAUUGCCGGCUAUGCAUAAAAGGAAUCAAAGGAACUUUUUUGUAUCAGUAUUAUAUGAAUAUACCUCAAUACGUGAUGGAGUGAUGAUCAAACUUCAGUGCGUGUGCGUAUACAAUACAAUACACAGGGGAUUGCACAGCGCCUAGAGUCUGCAAAGGAUUGAGAAGAGAACAAUUGAGCAAAUGCCAAAGGGGGCCCCGGAAUUGAAAUCAGCGGCGAACAUAUGCAGAAUACGAAGGAAAUUACCAAGCGGCGGCGAGGCGGGAGUGCGUGCGUGUACGGCGGCGUCGGCAGACAGCAGCUACGGCUGGGACCUGGGCGUUGCGUGACUCCACGUGAUGGAAGAGUCGAAUAGAACAGAAAGGGAAUCCUCAGGCCGCUGAUUUUUUUUUGAACAACAAACGGCGCUCGAAGCGCCAAAUUCAUUUCAGCUCAGAAACAGUGUACAGCGUGAAUUACAAACUCCUGAACCUGAAAAUUUGAGAGAAGAGACACCACAGGACAGGAACUAUGUCUAUGAGCUGAAGCGAAGCAAAAACUUGAGGUUCAACCCUAGAAUGAAGAACCUAAUAAGCUACAUUGUGUGCUAUGCCAUUAAUUUCCCUAGAAAUGUGAAACACUCGAGGUUGCAAGCUGUUAGCAUGCUUGAAGAAAUCAGCCAAAGGCUUCCUGAUGCUCCAAGGGGUGGUAGAUUCCACAAUCUUGCCGGUAGCAGCCACCAAAGAUAAAGAGAGGCAAUCCAUGAGAAAGGUUGGCUGAAGAAUAUUGAGCUUACUAGCCACUUGAGCUGCAAAAGAAAGAGCCAGAGCUUCUGCAUGUAGAGGAGAAGUAGUGGGAGGAGCUAAUGCUUGAAUUUGCACAUUGAUUUCAAAACGAUCUUGAGGCAAAACAAGAUAGACUCCUAUUCCAGUAGCAACUGCUCCCUGUAAUAGACCAGGAACUUUUGAACUUCUGAAAGUAGCGUCAGAAAAUAUUUUGGUCCCCGUAAUGAGCAAAUCCGACUUAAGAGUUCGACCCUGCGUAGGAAGAUGAUCAGGAGGAUAAAGAACUUGUGGCAUCACCUGCAUCUUAGAGAAAUGAGGCAAGUCAUUAUAAGAAUCAGAGGACAAGGCCAUAGCAGCAAUGUGCACAUGAUGAGGAAGAGCGUUUUUCCUGUCAAAAAGAAAAUCAUUUCUAGCCUUCCAAAUACACCAUAAGAAAUUAAGAAUGUUAGAGAUAGAACCAUUAGGAUGUCCCAUUUGAAGCAAGGCAAUAAGGAUAGAAUGCAUGGAAGUAUGACCUUGGAUUAAAACAUCAGACCUAAUAAACCAAGGAUAGUCAAACCAAGCCGCACGAGCAAAGGGACAAAGAAAAAAUAAAUGGGAUUCAUCCUCCCGAUGGCCACACCUACAAAAGUUUUUUGAUAUAUGAACAGAGAAUCGACUAGCUCGCAAACCUGUAGGCAAUGCCCUUCUAAGAAGCCUCCACGCAAAAGUUUGUACCCUAGGCAAAACCUGUUUUUGUUUCCAAACCAUCUUGAGAAGAUUCUUCAAUUCCAAAGGAAAAACAGAAGGAGCAUUUCUGGGAACUGCAUGAAUGUCCUGCAAACAAAGCUUAUAAGCAGAUUUGGAAGAACAAAUGCCAUUCGGAGUGAGAUCCCAACAAAGCAAGUCUGGACCAUCAUCAUUGAUAAUAUCAGUUUGGAGAAUAAUUGAGGCCAUAGGUUGCUGGAAAAGUAAAUGAACAAGCUCAUUAUUCCAAAAAAUUUGUCCAGGGAGCCAAAGAUCCUUAACUAAAGAAGGAUAUCUAAAGCCCGGUUCUUGAAUAAUGAGAUGAUCAUGAAUGGAAGUCCAAAGGGUGCACCAAGGCGUGCUCCAAAUAGAGAUAUUACCUUGAGUUAAUUGGUAAAAAGAAUGAGCUUUCAAUUUAGGAAUCAUUUUUAAUACCGAAGCCCAAAAAGCAGAUUUAGGAGCAGAAGAAUGAGCAACCCAGAUGGAGGAGUCAUGAAAAUAUUUAGCCUUAAGAACUAAAUACAGCUGAGAAAAAGGGAUUUAGCAAUUCUCCAAGCAGCUGCAAAAACAAGACUCUCAUUGAUAGCCUUCAAAUUUCUUAUGCCCAGUCCACCUUCUUCUUUAGAAUUGCAUAUGUCUUUCCAUGCACGAAGACAAAGACUCCUUGUAGAAUCAUUCUCCCUAACACCUGUCCACCAGAAAUUUCUAAUGACAGCAGUGAGCUUUGCAAUAAACUUCUUUGUGAACAAGAUGUUAGCCAUAUAAUAAACAGGAAUAGCAGAGAAAACAGAGCGAAUCAAUUCAAGCCUCGCAGCAUGAGAAAGCAUAUUGGCUUUGUAAGCAGGCAAUUUAUUCAUAAAUUUAUCAAGAACAAAGUUAUAGGCGGCGGUUCUAUUUUUAGCAGGAAGAAUAAGCGGAUGACCAAGAUGAGUGAAAUUGGUAUCCAUGGAGGAAACAGGAAAAACUUGCUUAAUCUCCUGCCUUGUAGGUUGACUAACUCGAGAACUAAAAAGAAUGGCAGAUUUGGCCCAGUUUGGAGUUUGACCUGAAAUAGAACAAAAGUGGUGAAUGAGCUGAGCCAUAGCAGUGGCUUCCUGAAUAGUGGCUUGACCACAAACCAACAAAUCAUCUGCAAACAACAGAGAAUGACACUACACCACAACACCAAUGCAAUGGCACAUAAUCUGCCGGGAGAACACCAUUAAGAGGGCAGAUAAACUGCCGCGAGAGAGAUUUUCCCGACAGAUAGGACUGCCACGUCAACGGCUGCCAGGGAUUACUUGUCCCGGCAGAUAAAUAAUCCCCGGAAGUUUUUCUGCCCCGACCAUUUUAUCUGCCGGCAGUUUACUUUCACCCGGCAGAAUCAUAGUGGCUAGCAACUGCAGUUUACCGGCAGUUUCACUGCCUGCGCAAGCACAUUUACCCGGCAGGUAAUAUGCCAUCACGUGCUUUUUCACAAGCAAUCAAAAUUAUUCUAUGUGCAAUAUCCCUGAUUAAAUAUCCAAUCAUUAUGUUCAAACAGUCAGGACAGAUCACACAACUUACACAUACGUUCAAUCAGAUUACAUGUAAGACCUCAUGCAAUAACAUAAAUAGACGAAAAACAUAUGUUUUUAACACAUGCAUGAACCGUACAUAUAUAGACAUUAUAUGCCUCAAAAUGCAAAGUACAUAUGUUUAAGGUAAAGAAAUCAUGCCACGCAACCAAAAUUGGCAUACAAUGGCUUGUCUGCUGAAACAACCACCAAAAUGAGCAGUGUAAAACUUGUCAAUAUCUGGAGGUUCAACAAACAAGACAUAUUACAUAUAUAUCAUCACUCCAGCAACUUGUCAGACCUUCAAAACCUCCAGAGCAACUUGUAGAUCUUCCAAACCUCCAUCAACUUGUGUAUCUUGAGAAACCUGCAACAAAUCGGAAACUCAGAAAAUGGUGCUAUCGUUUCAAAUUUUAAAUCAACAUAUUAAAGAUUUUGAUGUGCUGCAGUUUAACGUCAGCAUAUAACUCUUCUGAAUGUUAUGCACUUCAUCAUCACAACAAGUAGUGAUUAUUACGUACAUAAUUAGAUCAAGCAGAAAUUAUUUGCGCUUCACAUACAAAAUCUUCCAUGGGCAAAUAUGACAAAACAAGAAUGUGUAACAUUGUUGCUUGCUUCACUAAACUGUAUAGUCCAAGCUCAUCCAAGAAAUAGAUUGCACUAAUUUUAUCAGUAAACUUUCAGAUCUGAUAUGAAAGUCAACCUAGAACAAAAGAAAGAAUCCACAAAACAAAUUUGAAAAACCAGAGGACUGUACAGCAAAAAAUCAAAGUUGAAGAUGCAUAUUACCUCCUCAACUUGCUUGUGGUCACAUUACUGCAUUUGCUAGACUUAUCCACUUGCACCUGCAUACAUACAAGCGGACUUUUAAGGUGUAAAAAUAAAUUGAGAGCAAGCAUUGAGCAUGCAAAAAAAAUUUGUAACCACCCAAGCCAGGGUAAAAUUUUGUGCCUGGCCAAAUAUUUGGCAUCGUGGAUCUGGGCACAAAACAAGCACAUUGAUAGAUCAUUAAUGCAUGAUAUGGUUAAGAUUUUACAUACCUUAAAUUAGUCUUUCAGCUGCUCUUUGAGGCCCAUAACAUGAGGGAUGAUAAUUUGGAUCAGCGGAAACUGUUCAGGGAUGCCAAAAGAAUCUCGAGACAGUAAAAUGUAUCAACUCAGAGGUAACUGGCAAUUUAGAGGCAAGUGCAUUAUUAACAAGCUGCUAACAAAAUCCUGAGAACAAAGGGUGUAUCUUAGGUUUAACUGAAUGCAGACAUUCACAGUAACUAUGGUGGCCUUGGUCAAGCAUAUUGCAAAACAACACCUAUCUGAAACUAGCUGAAAUAUAGUUAAGUGUUAACUGAUUUUGCUGGUAACCAGAAAUCUGUUUAUAUGAAGAAACUUGUUGAAACCUAGUUAAGUGUUAACUGAUUUUUCUUGUAACCAGAAACCUGAAAUUGGCUUUGACUAGAACUAGUUGAAACAUGAAGCGCAAAACUUGUAGAAACCCAUAUAUCCCAGUUCCAUAUGUGUUCCCUGGAAACUCCCGGAUUUUUAAUGACUUUGAGCGAAUUUGCGUGCCGGAGGAUAUGGGAACAGAAUUGAUAGCAAAGUUUGACAGGAACCUGCGUGAAUAAUCCAUUAAUCAUCAUGCCCCGAUCGGUCGGUUCGGUACUCGGUUUUGAACCGAACAGGCCGAACAGUUUGCGGGAUGUGAUGGCGGGAUGGGAUGGCGGAUGGGAUGGCUGCUAUACUUUUGUCUCGGCGGGGCUAGAUAACAACACGUGUUAUGCUCAAAGAAAAAAAAUACAUGAGGUGAGCGAGACAACAGGCAACAACAAACAGUACCUAGGUUCACUAAAAAAAGCUGGCGGGCGUCCUGUACGUGUGACGAGAAUCAGGGGGGCAGCCGGCCAGCCUACGGCACUGUUUUCCACUCAUCACAUUAACACGCCAUCUCAUCAAUACAAUUGAUUUUUUGUUUGUUGGCUGGCAACACAGAGCGAACAAAUGGGAACUAAUUUAUGGAAGACGCACGAGACAGUUAGUGGUGGGCCUCGGUGCUUCGGUCAAUUCGGUUGCCUGACUGUGCAUACAUACACAUGCCAAGCAAAAUCUCGGUUCAUAUGUUUACUGCAGUUUUAUUUGCAUGAAGCAUAUAAGAAACGAAAUGCUAAAUAAGUUUCAAUGUUCUGAAAUAGCAGCAAACAUGUAUCCAAAAGAAAAAUACUGAAUCUAAGACUUAACUACCAAGAUUAUUACCUCCUCAGCUUGCUUGUGGUUGCGUACUCGUGUUGCUGGUUUUGCCAUGAACUUAUAAGUCACUCUCAGCUGCAUAUAUAGAAGCAAAGACUUUUAAGCUAUCAACCAUAAUAGUCAUUGGUAAAUAUAUAAUCAGAAGAGCAUAAGCUUAUGUGCUUGUAUGGAGUAGUCGACGCUGCUUGGUGGAGAGGACAAACAACAGGCAUACUGCUCACAAAACAAAAAAUCCAAAAUAUUAUUUCAGUGAAAGCAUCAAAUGAAAAUUAGGGAACAGUUUGUAAGAAUUACAUAUAGGAGAAAAGAGCAUGGUACUCAGCUAGCCCCACGACCCAAUUCUUCAAAAAAAAAUCUACUUAGGAGCAUAGCUCCCAAUUUCCAUUACUGAAAACAUCACAUGUCUCAAGUUCGUCCCCCUCCAGGGGUACCUCAAAACAUCAGAAACUAAGCCACACACAGCAGCACUACUACCAAACUAGACGCAGAACCUAAACAACGAGCAUCCAAAUGUUCUAAUUACCAGCAACAAAACAAUAGUCUUAUAUUACUCGUGGCCCUACAUGACAAGGUACUGUACUACCAGGGUUAUAUUACUUGCACGUGGCACUGCAAGUAGGCCUUUUCUGAAAUCUGAACCACAAGCACAUCUUAAGCUAUUUACCAUCUCUGUGAACGUAGCUAUGGAUGAAUUUGUUCUUAAGUGUUAAGCUAAAUAAAAAAAGUUUUAAGAACAGGGGAUCUGGCAAUUCAGUAAGUCAUGAUGCCAUGGAAUUUCCAGUAGGGGCGACGGUACAAACCAAUUGCUCUCAUUUUACUCUAGAAAAAUAAAUUAUCAGACAUAUGUUUUUCAAUUCAAUAAUAAAGGUUGCAACAAUUGAAGGGAUUUCUACUAUGAUAGACAACUACUGAUCAUUAAAUUCCAGAAUCACAUGACUGGGAGCAGUGGCAAACUGGCAAUAGAAAAUUAUGGAAGAAAAUUCCAGAUCAAACCCCAUAUAUCUAUUUUCAUAGAACUAACACAUUCACUAGUUAAAACUAUUAAACUCUAGAAGCGUUACUUCACUUUCAGUCUACAUUUGCAGAAAAAAAAAUAUACAGAAAGAAGUUCUCUAGCUAUAUUUGCAGCACGACCUUGAAACUUAAUUUCCCAAAGCUUGCAUGUAGUACCCCUACUGGGAUUCACUGAUUUAGUAUGUAGUUGAAGCAUCCAUUUGCUGCAAUGGAAGAUCUCUUCACCAUAAGCAAAACUUGCUCGGAUGACAAAGCUAGUCUUUAUCUUCAGAGCUGUAGUGUCAUAUAAACUCAAACACUUUCUGAAGUCGUUCUAGUUACUGCUCAGAAGAAAAAAGGAACAGAAGUUUGCAAAGAUUGAAAUCUCACCGGCCAAGUGCUCUCCGUGAGCAAGGAGGCGGCGCUGCACCUGGGGGAGGAUGUAGAGGAGGUGGAGCUUCUCGAGAGAGGGGCCGUACAGGAAGGCCCGCUGCUCGGGUGAGGGAAACAGGAGGCGACCCAACUUAGUGCUCAGGGAAGGAUGCUCGUGGAGGAGGAGGCCCUGCUCGGGGGAGAAAGCUUGAGGAGGAGGAGGCCUGCUCGGCGGAGGAAACCUGUGGAGGAGGUCGUUGUUGUGGUGGGGAUGGAGGGCGGUCGGCGGCUUUCCUCUGGAGGAAGCAGGCGCUGGGUGCGCGGGGGAUGGGAACGAAGCGACGAAGGGUUUCCUUGGUAGAGAAGGGUGCUCGGCGACGACUAGGCGGUCGGCGGCGAUGUGUUUGGGGACGAAGCCGGCGCUGCGGUCGAGUGGUUGGUGGUGGCGGCGGCGGUGUGGUAGGGGUUGAGGGUUAGGUUUUGGAAGAUUUGGGGAAGAACUGCUCAGGGGCUCAGGGCGACGAGCCGACGACCAAAGGAACCUUUCGAUCUCGCGCGCCCUUUCUCCUGCGCAAGCGCGCUCGGCCCAAUUGUUUUUUUAGAAACGGCCCAGUUACUUUGGUUACGCGUGGCAUACAAGUUCCCGGCACACAACAAGCCGCAGUUUAGUUGGGCCGGCAGAUAGGAUGACCUGCCAAGUGGACAUCGUUGCCGGCAGUUCGUGUGCCCUCGUUUGUUAACUUCUCCCAACAGUUUCUCUGCCGGUAAGUAAUUCUCCCGGCAGUUGUUCAAUUCCUGGCAGUUUCUUUGCCCUUGGUCGGGUAUUUCUCCCGGUAGUUAACUGCCCCUAAUUAGGUGUUGUGGUGUAGUGUGAAUAGAAGGGCAAUUUGGUCCAAGCGAAAUUCCUUGAAGAUUUUGAGCAGCAAGAGCUUCAUUGAGAGCAAUAGACAAUUCAUUGAUAACAAUAACAAACAAAUAAGGCGACAUGGGACAGCCUUGACGAAUGCCUCUGAAACUUCUAAAUUUAUGUGAAGGCUGCCCAUUAACAAGCACAGAGAAAGUAGGAGAAGAAAUGCACGAAUGCACCAAAUUAAUGAAAUGACGAUGCAGCCCUUUACGUGCAAGCGCAGACACAAUGAAGUUCCACUCUAAACGAUCAAAAGCUUUAGCCAGAUCUAUUUUUAGCAUGAAAGCAUGAUGAUUCCACGAAGCAAGAGAGAAAGAGUGAGUAAUCUCUUGAGCAAUAAUAAUGUUGUCACUAAUUCUUCUACCCUCAAUAAAGGCUUGCUGAUCAGGAUCAAUAUAGUCCGGAAGAUGAGGCUUAAUUCUAUUAGCUAGCGAUUCCGCAAUGAUUUUAUAGACAACAUUACAAAAGCUAAUGGGACGAGAAUCCAUAGGAACCUGAGGAACUAACUUCUUUGGGAUUAGAGCAAUAUUAGUAUCAUUAAUGUGGGGAGGUAAAAUACCAGUUUGAUAAAUGUUAAUCACAAGUUGAGUGACCUCCUCCCCUAUCCAAUCCCAAGCAGCCAAAUAAAAUUCCACAUUAAAACCAUCUGGACCUGGAGAAGCGUUCAACUUCAUCUCUUUAAGAAUCUGCAAAAGUUCAUUUUUAUCAGGAAGAAAAUAAGUAGGAUCCAAAGAAUUGACAGGCAAGUGAGUAUUGAGAAAAGGUCUUCCAAUGUCAUUGUUAGGCGAGGAGAAGAUGUAUCUAAAGUAGUUGACAAAAGUAUUAGUGAUAGCACUAGGCUUAAAAUGAAUCACAUCAUUCUCAUCCUUAACAGAACAAACAGUAUUCCUUUUUCUACUUUUGAUCACGGCCCGGUGAAAAUUUUUAGUAUUGCGAUCACCAGCCGUGGCCCAACCCUUUUUACUUCUUUGUUUGUAAAACUGAUUAAGUUUGGAAAGAGUUUGUUCAUACCUAAGAGUGAGAGAGCCUUCCAAAGUAUGAUUUUGUUGCUGCAAAGGAAGCUUCUGAAUCUGAUUGAUACUUGAUUCAAGUUCCAAAAGUUCUUGCUGAAGAUGCUUUUUCUUCUUGCACCACUUUUUACCGAAAAAGGCUUUCGCCCCGCUUUAUAUAUAAAGCAAAUGCCCAAGCCAACAUCCAACAAGGUUCAAGAACACACACGCACACACACGAAAGUUCCAGAAAAAUAAGUAACGAAAGGGUUAGUGCUGAGGGCACAGCUCAACAAGCCCUAAAAGAAAAACAAAAAGGCACACACGCUGGGAGAGACAAAGUGUCUAGUCUGGCUCCGGAGGUGGCGGGGGGAGCGGGGGCGCCAGGCGGAGGGCCAUCGAACGAAGGUCGGCGAGGAGGGUGCUGAUGACGUCCCGGUC